rnacentral:rRNA from 2 species
UACAGAGGGUGCGAGCGUUAAUCGGAGUUACUGGGCGUAAAGGGCGCGUAGGCGGUUGUAUGAGAGUGAUGUGAAAGCCCUGGGCUUAACCUGGGAAGUGCAUCGCUGACUAUACAACUGGAGUCUAUGAGAGGGUGGCGGAAUUUCCGGUGUAGCGGUGAAAUGCGUAGAGAUCGGAAGGAACGUCGAUGGCGAAGGCAGCCACCUGGCAUAAGACUGACGCUGAGGCGCGAGAGCGUGGGGAGCGAACAGG